CGCCACACACUUCCGCUUCCGCCUCUUUUGCCGGAAGUUGCUCUCAGAACUAGCGUGCGGUCUUUGUCAGCUUCCACCAUGGCGUACCGCGGCCAGGGCCAAAAAGUGCAGAAGGUGAUGGUGCAGCCCAUCAACCUCAUCUUCAGAUACUUGCAAAAUAGAUCUCGGAUUCAGGUGUGGCUUUAUGAGCAAGUGAACAUGCGGAUAGAGGGCUGUAUCAUUGGUUUUGAUGAGUACAUGAACCUCGUAUUAGAUGAUGCAGAAGAGAUUCAUUCUAAAACAAAGUCAAGAAAACAACUGGAAAUUUGGAGAGCAGGGAAAGCUUGGAGUCUGGGGCACAGUUACUCUUUGCCAUCUUUCAGGAAGUCCUGAGGAGAGACAGAGCAUGAGCGGGGAGAGACAGAGAGAGAGACACAGAAUCUGAAGCAGGCUCUAGAUUCUGAGUUGUCAGCACAGAGGCCAGCGUGAGACUUGAAUCCAUAAACUCUGCUGGCCUUGCUGACUUCAGGGCCAAUGCCAGAUGUAGAAGCAACAGACUUACACAGACUGCUUAACUAGCUCCCAUGAUUGCAAAAGACCCGAUCCCCAUAAUAAAUCCUUUACUCUAUUU